UUGAACGCUGGCGGCAUGCUUUACACAUGCAAGUCGAACGGCAGCAUGGGCUUCGGCCUGAUGGCGAGUGGCGAACGGGUGAGUAAUGCAUCGGAACGUACCCAGUCGUGGGGGAUAACUAUCCGAAAGGAUAGCUAAUACCGCAUACGUCCUGAGGGAGAAAGCGGGGGACCUUCGGGCCUCGCGCGAUUGGAGCGGCCGAUGUCGGAUUAGCUAGUUGGUGGGGUAAGAGCCUACCAAGGCGACGAUCCGUAGCGGGUCUGAGAGGAUGAUCCGCCACACUGGGACUGAGACACGGCCCAGACUCCUACGGGAGGCAGCAGUGGGGAAUUUUGGACAAUGGGCGCAAGCCUGAUCCAGCCAUGCCGCGUGAGUGAAGAAGGCCUUCGGGUUGUAAAGCUCUUUCAGACGGAAAGAAAUCGGGCGCGUGAAUAGCGUGCCUGGAUGACGGUACUGUCAGAAGAAGCACCGGCUAACUACGU
rnacentral:rRNA from 1 species